rnacentral:ncRNA from 1 species
AAUAAGACGAGAAGACCCUAUGGAGCUUUAAGUUACAAUGCAAUCAAAACUAUACAAAUCUACAGAUUUUAAAUUACUGCACCUGCAUUAAAAAUUUUGGUUGGGGUGACCUCGGAGCAUAACCCAGCCUCCGAACAACCUAUGCUAACGCCACACCAGCCAAAACGAAUCAAUACUUGCACAACUGACCCAAUAACUUGACCAACGAAACAAGUUACCCUAGGGAUAAUAGCACAGUCCUAUUCUAGAGUCCAUAUCGACAAUAGGGUUUACGACCUCGAUGUUGGAUCAGGACAUCCUAAUGGUGCAGCAGGUAUCAAAGGUUCGUUUGUUCAACGAUUAAAGUCCCAUGUGAUCUGAGUUCAGACUGGAGCAAUCCAGGUCGGUUUCUGUCUAUU